rnacentral:rRNA from 1 species
UACGUAGGCAGCGAGCGUUGUUCGGAGUUACUGGGCGUAAAGCGUGCGUAGGCGGUGUCUUAAGUUUGUUGUGAAAUCUCCCGGCUUAACCGGGAGGGUGCGGCGAAUACUGAGAUGCUGGAGUGCCGGAGAGGUAAGCGGGAAUUCCUGGUGUAGCGGUGAAAUGCGUAGAUAUCUGGAGGAAUACCGGUGGCGAAGGCGGCAUCCUGGACCGGCAUUGACGCUGAGGAGCGAAAGCUAGGGGAGCAAACGGG